AGCAGCCGCGGUAAUUCCAGCUCCAAUAGCGUAUAUUAAAGUUGUUGCAGUUAAAAAGCUCGUAGUUGAAUUUCGGGGUUAGUAGGCUGGUCGUGCCACAGGUAUGAACUGGUCUUACUGACUUCUCCUUUCUGAAGAACUGUAAUGCCAUUAAUUUGGUGUUUCAGGGAAACAGGACUGUUACUUUGAAAAAAUUAGAGUGUUUAAAGCAGGCUAACGCUUGAAUACAUUAGCAUGGAAUAAUGAAAUAGGACGUUCGAUCCUAUUUUGUUGGUUUCUAGGAUUGACGUAACGAUUAAUAGGGAUAGUUGGGGGCAUUAGUAUUCAAUUGUCAGAGGUGAAAUUCUUGGAUUUAUUGAAGACUAACUACUGCGAAAGCAUUUGCCAAGGAUGUUUUCAUUAAUCAAGAACGAAAGUUAGGGGAUCGAAGACGAUCAGAUACCGUCGUAGUCUUAACCAUAAACUAUGCCGACUAGGGAUCGGAUGAUGUUAAUUUUUAAUGACUCAU
rnacentral:rRNA from 1 species